GCGGAGCUGAGAUUCCAGCACUCCCGAAGCGGAGGCUGGAGGAUCGCGGGGAGUCUGAGGCCCAGCCUGGGGUAUAUCAGGGUGGACACAGCUGUGACGACCCCGUCCCUCUCCUAGGCUCUGCUGGGAGGAUGGGUGGAGAACCGGGUGUCAGACGCAGGACACAGCUUCCGUCUUCUUUUCUGCAGCCGAGGAGGAAAGUUCCAGAACUCAGACAGAGAUGACAGCUCCCCUGCCCAUCCUCCAGGAAGCCCACUCCCUCUCUCCACACCCCUUCCCAGUGACGGUGCCCUUUCUCCGGCCAUUCCUUUCCUCUGAAAGCCCAGAAGGGAAAUGAAGCACACUCUUUAAGGA